rnacentral:rRNA from 1 species
CCGGGUUGCGGACAGUGUCUGGUGGGUAGUUUGACUGGGGCGGUCUCCUCCCAAAGAGUAACGGAGGAGCACGAAGGUUGGCUAAUCCUGGUCGGACAUCAGGAGGUUAGUGCAAUGGCAUAAGCCAGCUUGACUGCGAGCGUGACGGCGCGAGCAGGUGCGAAAGCAGGUCAUAGUGAUCCGGUGGUUCUGAAUGGAAGGGCCAUCGCUCAACGGAUAAAAGGUACUCCGGGGAUAACAGGCUGAUACCGCCCAAGAGUUCAUAUCGACGGCGGUGUUUGGCACCUCGAUGUCGGCUCAUCACAUCCUGGGGCUGAAGUAGGUCCCAAGGGUAUGGCUGUUCGCCAUUUAAAGUGGUACGCGAGCUGGGUUUAGAACGUCGUGAGACAGUUCGGUCCCUAUCUGCCGUGGGCGCUGGAGAAUUGAGGGGGGCUGCUCCUAGUACGAGAGGACCGGAGUGGACGCAUCACUGGUGUUCGGGUUGUCAUGCCAAUGGCACUGCCCGGUAGCUAAAUGCGGAAGAGAUAAGUGCUGAAAGCAUCUAAGCACGAAACUUGCCCCGAGAUGAGUUCUCCCUGACCCUUUAAGGGUCCUGAAGGAACGUUGAAGACGACGACGUUGAUAGGUCGGGUGUGUAAGCGCAGCGAUGCGUUGAGCUAACCGAUACUAAUGAACCGUGAGGCUUAACCUU